UUUCCCCUGAAAAGAAAACUUGUUUUAGAUACCCUGCUCCUUUCUUGAGCUUAAUUUCCAUUCUUGUGGUAUUUGCAGUUUCCAUGUGUUCAUUGUUUUUUAUAGUCUGAGAACCAUGAAUGACCACAUCCUGAGCAAUGGAGAUUGCGCUGGACGUGGCCAAGGUUAAUUUGAUUUACUAAUGAAAAUCACCUCUGCAGCUCUUGUGAAAUGUUAUGUACCAGGUAGACGUGGUCAUGUAGUUAAAGCAUUCCAUUUUCUAUUGAUUUAGCUUGAUAAAUCACAAUCGUAAAUUGACAUACAAAAGCUUCGUAAUUCAUUAGCUCCAAACAUGUCUUCAGGGCAUAGAUUGCGGUUAUUUUGUGAUGCUUCUGGGCAGGGAAUGCCAGACUUCUUGGCCUGGACUUAAUCAUUUGGUGGCAUUUAUGGAACAAGGAACAUGGCAGCCUCCAUGGUGCUAGGUCAUUGAGCUAAAAUGCAUCCGAUUCAAGUGCACUGACAUAAACUGUCCUUACAAGCAUGAUCAAGUCUGAAGAGGUAAAAGCCGACUACCAUCUUCCUAGAAGCCCGAGAUAGUGAUUUACCUUUCCCCUGGGAAGGGAAUGAUUAUGUCCUUCCUAGGAGGGGCUGUCUAGACUUGUAUCAUGAAGGGAAACCAUCACCUCACAUGGGAGAGGGAGGCCAAUA
rnacentral:lncRNA from 1 species